rnacentral:rRNA from 1 species
GGUAGUCCACGCCGUAAACGAUGGGUACUAGGUGCUUGGGGGAGCGACCCCCUGGGUGCCGGCGCUAACGCAUUAAGUACCCCGCCUGGGGAGUACGGCCGCAAGGCUGAAACUCAAAGGAAUUGACGGGGGCCCGCACAAGCGGUGGAGCAUGUGGUUUAAUUCGACGCAACGCGGAGAACCUUACCUGGGCUUGAACUGUUUGGGCUAUCCCCAGAAACGGGGAGUUCCCUUCGGGGACCCAAGCAGAGGUGCUGCAUGGCUGUCGUCAGCUCGUGUCGUGAGAUGUUGGGUUAAGUCCCGCAACGAGCGCAACCCUCGUCCUGUGUUGCCAUUUUGGGACUCACAGGAGACCGCCAGCGAUAAGUUGGAGGAAGGUGGGGACGACGUCAAGUCAUCAUGGCCUUUAUGUCCAGGGCUACACACGUGCUACAAUGGGUGGUACAACGGGUUGCGAAGCCGCGAGGCGGAGCUAAUCCCUAAAAACCAUCCUCAGUUCGGAUUGCAGGCUGCAACUCGCCUGCAUGAAGCUGGAAUCGCUAGUAAUGGCGUAUCAGAAUGACGCCGUGAAUACGUUCCCGGGCCUUGUACACACCGCCCGUCACAUCACGAAA